rnacentral:lncRNA from 1 species
GGUUAAAAACAAGUAGAGGUUAGUUAUACAAUAAUUAGUAUAUAAUGACAUUUAGGCAACCUGACGUCACUCUGUUUUGCCAAUUGCAAACAUGUUACUUUCCAUUGUUAGAUAGAGGAUUGCUGAAAUGUUAUCUAAAAGUCCAAACAUGUACAUGAAUUGCAAAUGCAGCUUUUGAUUUGUGGUCUUGUUUUUAGCUUGACCUUAUAAUGAAAUCUAUUUUUAUUUUUAAGUUUAUUUUUUUAAGACAAGAUCUUGCUUUGUCACCCAGGCUGGAGUGCAGUGGCACAAUCUCGGCUCACUGCAAUCUCUGCCCCCCAGAUUCAAGCGAUUCACUUGCCUCAGCCUCCCUAGUAGCUGAGAUCACAGGCAUGUGCCACCACGCCCGGCUAAUUUUUGUAUUUUUUUAAUAGAGACAGGGUUUCUCCAUGUUGACCAUGCUGGUUGCGAACUCCUUACUUCAGGUGAUCUACCCGCCUCGGCCUCCCAAAGUGCUGGGAUUACAGGCAGGAGCCACCAUGCCCUGCCUUAAUGAAAUCUAUUCUUAUUGAAGAGAGUGGAGAAUGUGUUUUAUAAGGAAAAUUGUAGCAAAUAUUAAAUGCCACAAAGUUGUCUCAGUAUCGCUAAGAUAAUUAAGGUCUUUGAGAAAUACAAGUAAGAAUUUAAAGAGUAGAGUAAAGAAACAGACUAAAGUAAGCACAAAUGUUUCCUUACAGUCAAGGGAUUUGUACAGCCCUGUAGGAGACACCUCCAGAGAAAGUAACAGCUCUCAAUUGAUUAGCUGAGCCAGAAUUAGCUUCUGUUACUUACAACUGUGAGUCCUGACUGAAAACAUAUUUCUUCCUUUGAAGAACUGUUACCUGUAACAGGCUAAGAAGAAUAUUAAGAAUAAACAGAUGCUUUUACAGCUCGCCUUGGCGGGAAGAUCUGGCACAAAUGAAGUAUCUAUAAGGAGCAGCAGAGUCAAGGUGGUGAUCCUGUGGAUGAAUAACUGAAACCUGAUAUACUUGACAGCAGAAAAUAUAAAGCAAAUUGAAAAGGAGAGAGUGUGGAGAUAAAUAAGAAAAUGAAAGAACUGAUAAAGUCACUUGGAUUAAAAAACCUGGGAGAAGACACCAGACAAAUGAGUUACACUGUUUUGGACUCCCCAACACAACCCAGCCACCGGCUGAAUGCCACCAAAUUACCUUCUAGUUAAAGGUUUAUGGAGCAAACGAAUCACCUAUUCAAUAUCUGCUUGAAUUUCUGACUCAAAAUACAUCAGGUAUAAAAUGAUGGUUUUUUUAAGCCACUAAGUCUUGGGGGAGUUUAUUAUAAAGCAA